UGGAUUCUAAUAAGUUUUGUUGAUUCAUUUGAUUCAUGCUUUGUCUUUUAUUAUUUUGAAUAUGUGGAAGCAAUUAGAAAUGAUCAAGGCACUUGUUUUCUAUCGAGCACAACUACAUCCAAAAACAACUUACCUGUGAGCAGAGAGAGUAUUCGUUAACCCCUUUGAGCUUAAACAGUUGAAUCUCAGCUUGAAAUAAAGCGAGAUUUCAAAAAUUUUUUUUUUACAACCCGGAAAAUCUUGAUUAUUGUUCUUUUGCCGUAAAAAGUUAAGAGCAUUCACUUAGGGUGAGUAAGAAAUAAGUUGGGGAGAAUCGGUAAGUACCACAACUCUUGAAAAAAAAAAUGAAAAACCGAGCAAGCAUUGAAAAUAAAAAUAUAGAAAAGAAACAUCUGUUUUGUAAAUAUGAUGUGAAAGAAAA
rnacentral:lncRNA from 1 species